CAACUUUCAGCAACGGAUCUCUUGGCUCUCGCAUCGAUGAAGAACGCAGCGAAAUGCGAUAAGUAAUGUGAAUUGCAGAAUUCAGUGAAUCAUCGAAUCUUUGAACGCACCUUGCGCCCUUUGGCAUUCCGAAGGGCAUGCCUGUUUGAGUAUCAUGA
rnacentral:rRNA from 1 species